rnacentral:rRNA from 1 species
CGCUGGCGGCAUGCCUUACACAUGCAAGUCGAACGGUAACGCGGGGCAACCUGGCGACGAGUGGCGAACGGGUGAGUAAUACAUCGGAACGUGCCCAGUAGUGGGGGAUAGCCCGGCGAAAGCCGGAUUAAUACCGCAUACGACCUACGGGUGAAAGCGGGGGACCGCAAGGCCUCGCGCUAUUGGAGCGGCCGAUGUCAGAUUAGGUUGUUGGUGGGGUAAAGGCCUACCAAGCCUACGAUCUGUAGCUGGUCUGAGAGGACGACCAGCCACACUGGGACUGAGACACGGCCCAGACUCCUACGGGAGGCAGCAGUGGGGAAUUUUGGACAAUGGGGGCAACCCUGAUCCAGCCAUGCCGCGUGCGGGAAGAAGGCCUUCGGGUUGUAAACCGCUUUU